GACGCGCGGUGGCCUAAUGAUUAGCGCGUUGGACUCAGGAUCGAGUGGUCUGGGUUCGAGCCCUGGCCUGGCUCA
rnacentral:tRNA from 1 species